rnacentral:rRNA from 1 species
GAUGAACGCUGGCGGCGUGCUUAACACAUGCAAGUCGAACGAAGCAAUCUAACGGAAGUUUUCGGAUGGAAGCUGGAUUGACUGAGUGGCGGACGGGUGAGUAACGCGUGGGUAACCUGCCUCACACCGGGGGACAACAGUUAGAAAUGACUGCUAAUACCGCAUAAGCGCACCGGACCGCAUGGUCUAGUGUGAAAAACUCCGGUGGUGUGAGAUGGACCCGCGUUUGAUUAGCUAGUUGGUGGGGUAACGGCCUACCAAGGCGACGAUCAAUAGCCGACCUGAGAGGGUGACCGGCCACAUUGGGACUGAGACACGGCCCAAACUCCUACGGGAGGCAGCAGUGGGGAAUAUUGCACAAUGGGGGAAACCCUGAUGCAGCGACGCCGCGUGAGUGAAGAAGUAUUUCGGUAUGUAAAGCUCUAUCAGCAGGGAAGAAAAUGACGGUACCUGACUAAGAAGCCCCGGCUAACUACGUGCCAGCAGCCGCCGUAA